rnacentral:rRNA from 1 species
AUGGUGAAGGCCUACCUCCGCUACGAGCCGGCGCUCUCCUUCGGCGUGGUCGCCUCCCCGGAGUCCAACGUCGUCUACGACCCCUCCGGCCGCCGCCUCCUCGCCGCCGCCCUCGACCGCUUCGCCGCCUGGGACCUCAAGCGCGGCCUCCCCUCCGCCACCUUCACCCCAUCCUCCUCCUCCGCCUCCCUCGCCGUCUCCUGUGUCGCCUCCUCCCCCGCCGCCGCCUCCGCCUCCGCUUCCUCGGUUGCGAGUGGCCAUGCCGACGGGAGCAUCAGGCUGUGGGACGCCGAGACCGGCGCCUGCGAGGCGACGCUCCACGGCCACCGCUCUGCUGCUUCUGCCAUACGCUUCGCUCCCUCCGGUGCUGUCCUCGCCUCCGGCAGCAAGGACUGCGAUGUCAUCCUCUGGGACGUCGUUGCACAGGCCGGCCUCUUCCGGCUCCGUGGCCACCGUGAUCAGGUAACGGAUUUAGUGUUCCUGGAUUCGGGGAAGAAGCUGGUGACCUGCUCCAAGGACAAGUUCAUCCGGGUCUGGGACCUCGACACACAGCACUGCCUUCAAAUUGUAGGUGGCCACCACAGCGAGAUAUGGUCCAUGGAUGUUGAUCCUAGCGAGAAGUUUUUGGUGUCUGGCUCGGCCGAUCCAGAGCUCCGGGUGUUUAGAAUCAGGCAAUCAGCUGAAGAGGGCGAAGAUUGGAACAAAUGGGAUGCACUCAAGCUGUUUGGCGAAAUUCCGAGGCAGAGCAAAGAAAGAAUUCAGACCAUUAGGUUCAAUAAGGAUGGCAGUCUUGUGGCAUGCCAGGUGGCGGGGAAAACUGCUGAUAUCUAUAGGAUUCUUGAUGAAACAGAGGCCACACGGAAGGCCAAGAGGCGGCUGCACAGGAAGAAGGAGAAGGCUUCAGCGAAAGCUGCGGCGGCGGAAGGGAAUGGUAGUGUCAUAGAUCCUUUGCCAGCUCAAGACUCUCAGAAUCCCACUGUUGUGGUUACCGAUGUAUUUAAGCUCCUCCAAGUUUUGCGGACCAGCAAGAAAAUUUGCUCUGUUGCAUUUUCUCCAAGCAAUCCACCAAAAGGCUGCCUUGCGACCCUGUCUUUGUCUCUGAACAAUAACGUGCUUGAGACGUACUCGGUGGAUAUUGAGAAAGUGUCUAAGAUGUACUCAGUUGAGAUACAUGGGCAUCGUUCUGACAUCAGGAGUCUUGCACUUAACUCAGAGGACAACCUCCUAAUGUCAACUAGUCACAAUGCUGUUAAAAUCUGGAAUCCUAGUACAGGUGACUGUCUUAGGACUGUUGACUCUGGAUAUGGGUUGUGCAGUGCAUUUGUUCCUGGGAAUCGGUAUGGCCUUAUCGGCACAAAGACUGGUACCUUGGAGAUUAUUGAUAUUAACAGUGGGAACUCGAUUGAUGUAAUAGAAGCUCACGCUGGUUCCAUACGAUCGAUUGUACUCAUUCCAGAUGAGGAUGGAACUGUUAAUGCACGGGGUUUUGUCACCGGAAGUGCUGAUCACGAUGUCAAGUUCUGGGAAUACCAGUUAGUGCAGAAAUCUGAUUCGGACGCAAAGUAUCUGAGUGUAACAAAUGUGAGAACCUUGAAAAUGAAUGACGAUGUCCUUGCAGUGUCCAUUGGUCCAACUGGGAAGCAUAUUGCUGUUGCUCUUUUGGAUUGCACAGUGAAGGUCUUCUUUCUGGACACACUAAAGUUUUGUCUUUCACUUUACGGGCACAAGCUUCCAGUUCUCUGCAUGGACAUAUCAUCCGAUGGUGCUCUAAUAGUUACUGGUUCUGCAGACAAAAAUCUGAAGAUUUGGGGUAUGGAUUUUGGUGACUGCCAUAAGUCCAUCUUUGCCCACACAGACAGUGUGAUGGAUGUUAAGUUUGUUCCUAAAACUCAUUACAUGUUCAGUGUGGGGAAAGAUCGUACUGUGAAGUACUGGGACGCUGAUAAAUUUGAGCUUUUGUUAACGCUUGAAGGACACCAUGCUGAAGUCUGGUGCCUUGCGAUUAGCAGUCGUGGUGAUUUUAUCGUAACAGGCUCUCAUGAUCGCUCUAUUCGGCGUUGGGAUCGUACCGAAGAACAGCUUUUCAUUGAGGAAGAGAGGGAGAAAAGAUUGGAGGAAACUUUUGAGGCUGAUUUAGACAAUGCGGUUGAAGAUAGAUAUGGGCAGAAAGAUGAUGCUCCUGACGAGGGUUCUGUGGGUGUUCCUGGUAAGAAAACAAAAGAGACAGUAACUGCUGCUGAUGCAAUUAUUGAUGCACUUGACACUGCUGAGGAAGAAGAAAAACGUCUUAAUGAGCAGAAGGAGUUAAAAAAUGAUGGGGAGGGAACUAAAUCUAAGCCUAAUGUUAUAAUGCAAGGGCAUUCACCUUCAGAAUAUGUUCUGAAUGCAGUGUCAAGUGUCCGCCCAAAUGACUUGGAACAAGCCCUUCUGUCGUUGCCAUUCUCAGAUGCACUAAAGCUCAUGGCUUACUUGAAGGAGUGGUCUCUAAUCCCAUUGAAGGUUGAGCUUGUUUGUCGGGUUUGCCUUGUGCUGCUUCAAACACACCACAACCAGCUAACUACCACACCGGCUGCAAGAUCGAUACUGACAGCACUGAAGGAUAUUCUUUACGGUAGAGUAAAGGACUGCAAGGAUACCAUAGGUUUCAAUCUCGCCGCGAUGGAUCAUAUAAAGGAACUGUUGACGAUGAGAUCAGAUGCGCCAUUCCGGGACGCCAAGGCGAAGCUCCUGGAGAUCAGGCAGGAGCAGUCGAAGCGGUCAGAUAGGUCGGACGGCGGCGAGAAAAGGAAAAAGAAGAAACCCAAGGCGUCUGUACAGAGCUGA